rnacentral:rRNA from 1 species
AUCCUGGCUCAGGAUGAACGCUAGCUACAGGCUUAACACAUGCAAGUCGAGGGGCAGCAUGAAAGUUUGCUUGCAAACUUUUGAUGGCGACCGGCGCACGGGUGAGUAACACGUAUCCAACCUGCCUCAUACUCGGGGAUAGCCUUUCGAAAGAAAGAUUAAUACCCGAUGUCAUAGUCCUACCGCAUGAUGGGAUUAUUAAAGAAUUUCGGUAGAUGGGGAUGCGUUCCAUUAGUUAGUUGGCGGGGUAACGGCCCACCAAGACAACGAUGGAUAGGGGUUCUGAGAGGAAGGUCCCCCACAUUGGAACUGAGACACGGUCCAAACUCCUACGGGAGGCAGCAGUGAGGAAUAUUGGUCAAUGGACGAGAGUCUGAACCAGGUAGCGUGAAGGAUGACUGCCCUAUGGGUUGUAAACUUCUUUUAUAUGGGAAUAAAAUGUUCCACGUGUGGGAUUUUGUAUGUACCAUAUGAAUAAGGAUCGGCUAACUCCGUGCCAGCAGCCGCGGUAAUACGGAGGAUCCGAGCGUUAUCCGGAUUUAUUGGGUUUAAAGGGAGCGUAGGUGGAUUGUUAAGUCAGUUGUGAAAGUUUGCGGCUCAACCGUAAAAUUGCAGUUGAAACUGGCAGUCUUGAGUACAGUAGAGGUGGGCGGAAUUCGUGGUGUAGCGGUGAAAUGCUUAGAUAUCACGAAGAACUCCGAUUGCGAAGGCAGCUCACUGGACUGCAACUGACACUGAGGCUCGAAAGUGUGGGUAUCAAACAGGAUUAGAUACCCUGGUAGUCCACACAGUAAACGAUGAAUACUCGCUGUUUGCGAUAUACGGCAAGCGGCCAAGCGAAAGCAUUAAGUAUUCCACCUGGGGAGUACGCCGGCAACGGUGAAACUCAAAAUUGACGGGGGCCCGCACAAGCGGAGGAACAUGUGGUUUAAUUCGAUGAUACGCGAGGAACCUUACCCGGGCUUAAUGCACCUGAAUAAUGUGGAAACAUGUUAGCCGUAAGGCAGGUGUGAAGGUGCUGCAUGGUUGUCGUCAGCUCGUGCCGUGAGGUGUCGGCUUAAGUGCCAUAACGAGCGCAACCCUUAUCUUCAGUUACUAACAGGUCAUGCAGGACUCUGGAGAGACUGCCGUCGUAAGAUGUGAGGAAGGUGGGGAUGACGUCAAAUCAGCACGGCCCUUACGUCCGGGGCUACACACGUGUUACAAUGGGAGGUACAGAAGGCCGCUACCUGGCGACAGGAUGCCAAUCCCCAAAACCUCUCUCAGUUCGGAUCGAAGUCUGCAACCCGACUUCGUGAAGCUGGAUUCGCUAGUAAUCGCGCAUCAGCCAUGGCGCGGUGAAUACGUUCCCGGGCCUUGUACACACCGCCCGUCAAGCCAUGAAAGCCGGGGGUACCUGAAGUACGUAACCGCAAGGAUCGUCCUAGGGUAAAACUGGUAAUUGGGGCUAACGUAACGA